AUGGUGGGGAACGAUGAUCUCAGCCCAGAGCUUCUGGGACAUGCGCUGUGUCUUACUCCUUUGCUCCUGACUCCAAGUACUGAGGAUUAUCCUUUACUGGAAGAGUGGUGUACAGUCAUCGACCAGUGCAGCAACCCCUUGUCUUCAGAGGUGCUCAGAAUGGCUGUGGCAAAGUCGCUGAGAAUGUCUGGAGCCGAUGUGCUCUGGAGAGCCCAAGAAUCCUCCAGCUCGUCCCUUCGUGCCCUGGCAUUACGGGUCGUCAGUCUUUACAAAGAGGAUGAGCCCAACGUUUACGCAGAACCAGUUAUCUUUUCUCAAACGCUGCUGCCUUUUCUCCUCCAGCUGCUUGGCAGAGCGUCCACCUCCCUGAAGCUUUGGGUACCCAUGCAGGUCUGGCUAAAGGCCACUGGGCCCGGAGUCUUCUCCAGCCUCCAUCACUGCAGGCUGUGGUGGAGCCAAGGUGAGUUUGAAACCUGCAGAGCAGUUAUCAUUACUGUUUAUUCAGUUUAUGUACCACCCUUCAUCGCAAGAUUUCGGGACGGUUCACAGAAUAAAAUACAAGAUGAAACACAAGUAAGUAAAUAA
rnacentral:lncRNA from 1 species